GAUGGAAAAUUUAUAAAAUCUUUGUGUUAGUGGAGUAGGCGACCUUUAACCAAGAGUGUAUUUUAAAUGUUUUUAACUUUGAAGUUAUAUUAAAGAUUUUUAUAAAAUAUUUCUGCACUUUUAUGUAUUUAAGAUAAAGAAUGAUAGAUCUUACUGCCAAAUUAGUGGAAGCUCUUUCAAAGCUUUAUAACUCCAUACCAAAAUUAGAAAACAAGAGAGAUAUAGAUGAACAUAUUUUUAACGAUUUUAGAAAUGAAAUGGAUUCGGUCAUCUUAAAUCACCCAGCAAAAGUUGGUGAAACGUAUUAUUACGCAUUGAAAAGAAUGUAUUGUUUACAUAAUAGAAAUAUUUACGUUCCUCGUUCGUUAAUGUUGCAUUGCUCAUUAAAAAUGCGCAAAGAUGAAAUUCAGCAAUUAGUCACAUUACCUAAAAAAUAUAAAUUAGUUGUACCUAGGAAAAUGGAAAUAAUAUACGCUUUGCAGCAUAAAAUGGCUAUUGGGAACAACUUAUUAAAAAGAAGAG